AUUAAAUAUAUGUUUAGAUAUAUAAAUAAAUCUUAGUUGAAGGAACAAAUUGUCCUGGCGUUACAAUAAUGAUGACGAUUAUGAUGGUGAUGAUGACGGUGAUGAAUUCUUCUCCCGGAGCUCGGCGGCGUUUCUACAUCACUGUUCUCCUCUCGUUCUUCUCAGGCUGAUGAUCUACACGCUGACACAAACCAUCAGAACAGCUGCACACGUCUUCCAGCAGAACCAUACGCUUCAGCCGAGAGACAGAAACACACACGCACACGCACAUACACGCACACACACACGCACACACACACACACACGGGGGUGCCCUCGUGUCCUGCACGUUCCUCCUUCAUUCAGGAAGGAGGUGAUGAAGAUGAAUUGUUAGAGGUGAUGCGGGAGAUGAUCAGCGUGGCCAUGUGCUGAUAUUCAAACCCCAAACUGUCCCAGCAUGACGCUUUACCCACCGCUUAUUACUGUUAUCAUCAUUAUUAUAUUCACACUGUCUCUUCCUUUCAUAGACAGAAUCCUGCUCUGAGUCCUUAAAUAAAUGAACACAGAAAAUCGAAGGAACAUGAAACCAGUAAAGAACAAAGUCAUGUUUAAUUCUCUAUCUAACCUUUUAGGGGGCGGGGUUAAUGUAUAAAAUUAAAAAUUAUUUAUGUAUAAAAUUAUUAAGAAAGCCUAAAUAAAGUGGAUGUUUGUAUUUUUGUUCGUUUUAAAUCACAUAUGAAAUACAAUAAAUGUGUCAAAUGUUUGGGGGAGAAAACGUCCGAUUACUAAAGCAUCGUUUCUUAUUGUAUUAAUUCAGAAAUUAUUAUUAAUAUUAAUUCAUAUUCAUUUAAUUAGGUUGUUUAAUUCUAGUAAAUAUGUCAGAUGUAUCUGUUUAUGUAAUUAUAUACUGUAUUAUUUAUUGUAUUUCAUAUAUUUGAACACUUACUGUAAAUCUAGCAGAGGAACAGCUUUAUAUCUUCUGCAGAACGCAGUGAAGUGGAGCGAAGUGAGAUAUCGGCACAUGGCCACUCGGGGUGGUUUGGGAGGAAACACGACCUCAAACGCUGCUGGGUUUCAUCUUUAUCCAAACGGUUCCUUUACAGUUCUAAUUGUUCAGUCGUUCGCCGCUAAUAACUGAACAUUCGAAUGGGUUUAGAGAAUGUUUUUAUUUAUAUCUCCUGUGUUGUUAUUUCUGUUGAUUUCCGGCGUGUUUAUUCAGAGUGCAGGAUCUCUGUAGAGCAGCGAGUCAGGACGAGUGGACCGGCCCGGGUCAGAACCGAGCCUUCCUCUCCGAUCAUGAACCCUCGCAGGGCGUAGAACCUCGUCCUCGUUACAGCUACAUCAGGGUCUGUCCGAUUCUCUCGCUCUGCAUCAUGGGUAAAGCGGCGUGAUAACUUCCAGUGCUUAAACGAGUCACGACAUUUAGGGCGUGUUCACACCGGUCCGUUUCUCCGUGCCGGGUUUGGUGUUCACAGGCGGGCGUGAAACACGAGCGCCGCGCUGAAAGAAAGCGUCAAUUCACUCCCUGACAGCAGAUGGCGCUUAUUGAAAAGCAGAAAUACCCCCGGUACACAAGGUGGCGCUGCACAACUUUACAAUAGCAUUCACAAAUUUAUGGGAUUUACAUUUUUUAAAUCACAUUUUUUUGGAGAUGCUGGAUUUGAUUUCCGUGAGCUGUAAUAAAACAAAAAGAAGAAAUAUAUCUAGAAUGUAUGAAAGUUCCUUUUUAAAAUUAAAUUACAGAAGAAAAAAAAAAAAGAUUUCCACAAUAUUCACAUUUUUUUAAAUGCACCUGUAUGCCAGGUGCAGAAUAAACACAACGGAUCAAUCAGCAGAUUAUUAUUUGCAGGGAACAGACAAAGAAACAAUGCUAAUUAAUGUAGAAAAUAAAACUGAAAGAAUUAAACGGAUCAUUUAGAAUAUUUAGAAUAUUUAGAAUAUAUUCCUGCAUUUCAGUCUCGUCACAAAAAUAACCACCACAUCAACGAGUCGAGAAUAAACAUCAGUUUGGACUAGAAACUCGACUCCAGGCUUUAGCUCCAUUGUGUUGCUACUCGAUCAUUAAAGUUACAGGCAAUUAAUAAACAGCACUGUGCUAACACUUAGUGUGUAAUCGUGACUCUGGUGACAGGACUGCGUGUGUGUGUGCGUGUGUGCACGCGGAAGGAUUUAUUAGCACUGAGCAUUUUAUUUUGUGUCACAUGCACUCUUACAGAAAUGAUGGGUGCUGCUGCUGCUGCUUCUUCAUUCAGACAGUUUUGUACUUGAACUCCAAGUCCAAGUCGGCACAUAAAAACAAAACCCCAAUAAACAAACACGUCGAUGUUAAAAACAAUCUGGCGCUCUGACGCAACGCUUUUUACGCGUGUGAACUCUCUCACCGACAGCCAUCGGAGCGUUAAACGGACCGUUUAAUGCGCUGUGAAAGACGUCCCGGUGUGAACAGGGCUUUCAUUUGAAGAUAUUUUGGUCAUUAUAGACUCGUGUACCGCCACACCGAGUUCCGACCACUGAACUGAUUCAGUACUCAAACACGUCUGUGUACUGAGACUCAUUCUCGAGAUGCUCUCACUCACUGCUCUGAUACACUGACCUGAUUCACUCACUCACUGCUCUGAUUCACUGACCUGAUUCACUCACUCACUGCUCUGAUUCACUGCUCUGAUUCACUGCUCUGAUUCACUGCUCUGAUUCACUGCUCUGAUUCACUGCUCUGAUUCACUGCUCUGAUUCACUGCUCUGAUUCACUGACCUGAUUCACUGACCUGAUUCACUGCUCUGAUUCGCUCACUCACUGACCUGAUUCGCUCACUCACUGACCUGAUUCGCUCACUCACUGACCUGAUUCGCUCACUCACUGACCUGAUUCGC
ensembl:lncRNA